CAUAUAGUUUUACGUCAUGAACAUGAUGUUGAUUCGGAUAAAAUGCUAUGUAGAAGCGUUACACAUGCAAAUACCUCUUUAGGGGUGUGUUAAGGUGAGUAUAAUAGAUACGUAAAGUAUCUUAUUAGAUGAAGGUAUUAGUUAUUUAACUAGCCGUAGACCUAUAGUCGGUGAUGGAAGUCACAACGAUCACAUUGGCAUUAAGCCAACUACUAUUAGUAGCAGCAGUGGGGAAUUAUUGACAAUGACCUAACGGUUGAUCAUGCUAUCUAUAAGAGAUUUAAUAACAUAUAAAAUUUAUAUUUAUAUAAAAAUUAUUAUUACUAUUAUAAUAUCUCAGCUUCAUAUUAAAGAAUGAUUAAUAUGAAAGUAAAGUUCUGACCAAAUGAUGUGCCAGCAGUCGCGGUUAGACAUCAAGAGCAAGCAUUAAUCUACAUUGGCCUAAAGGAUCCGUAGGUUUAUAUUUUCUUUCUUUAGGGGAAGAAAACAUAGAAUUUAUUAGAUGUAUAAUGAAAUAUAACUUUAGGGAUAAAAUACUAUGAUAGUUAUAAGACAGCAUAGAAUAUACAGAAAAUAAAUUGACACUGAGGGAUGAAAGCUAUAGUAGUGACAUGGAUUCGGUACCCAUUUAAUUAUAGCUGUGAACUAUGUAUACUAUAAAUUAGAUAAGCGAAGGCUUAAAGUAUACCGCCAGACUAGUACGUUCGCAAGGAUGAAAUGCAAGACAUUAGACGGUUAUAUAUAUAUGCAGUGGAGUAUACUGUUUAAUUGGACAAUACCCCUAAAACCUUACCUACUCUUGAAUAUAUUUUAUUAUUUAUAAUAAUCUAUACAGGCGUUACAUUGUUGUCGUCAGUUCAUGCUUUGUGGUAUCUUAUUAAGUUAUUUAAUGAACAAAACCCUCAAUCUUAUGAUUAUGUAUGUCCGACAGGAUAUAGGAAGUAGAGGCUAAAGACUAAUCAUCAUGACCCUUAUGAGUAGGGCCACAGGUGUACUACUAUCUCUUAUAUAAUUAUAUAUAUCUGACCCCCCAGAUAUAUAUGAUCCCCCCCGAAAGGGGGGCAUUAUAUAUAUCUUUAUAUGAUUAUUUCAUAUUAAAUUAGAUAUAAUAUUAAAUAUAAGAUAUUAUGAUAAAUUUUCUUUAAAUUGGAUUAUUGCCUGUAACUCGGUAAUAUAAAAAAGGAAUUGCUAGUAAUCAUAGACAAGAGUGCUAUGGUGAACUAUACAUAUAUUUCGCACUAAUCACUCAUCAAUAGCAUAGAUAAUGUCUUAAUACACCUUUGUGUAUUAAUGAGCAUAUGAUAUGCUAUAAGUUGAAAUACAGUUCGAGUAAGGGAACUUGCUCGGGAUUUAUAUUAAUAUUAUCUAUUCUUUUCCCCCCCCCCACCUUCUUAAAUUAGUAUUAUUUGAAUAGAUGAUAUGAUGAUAUCCCCCCUUGCGGGUAUAUUAUCUAUUAAACAUUAUUAUUUUAAUAAA